GUGUUUUUAUAUUCCUUUGCAGUAGAGAAUAAAUAAGAAAUGGGAAAGUUCUUUAGAAUUAAACCAACAAGCAAAUCAAGAUACAAUGUUCUAAGAGAUGUCAUAGUGAUGAAAAGUAAGCAGUUAGAGGAAGCAGUUGAGUAGUGCCAAAUUAACAAUAAACGUAGUUGGGUUGCAAUUAAUUCAGGAAGAUUUCCACUAAUUAAAGAUCUUAAUUAACGAGAAGGAAUAUUGCUCAAUUUUUAAAAAAGAUGAAGAAGAAUCGUUAGUCUGUUAUAUAAGAAACAAGAAUAGGUGCCUUCAACGUUUAAACAAGUCGGAGUUGACAAGGAUAAUGUUAAAUGUUUUGGAAGUAAGAAAACAAGCCUGUAGAGACCUCCGUGGACGUCAGAUUACUAAGUCAUCACCAAAUGCUCAACGAGCACUUCAAACAAAGACGCUUAGCAAGUCUUUUUGGAAGCGUUGGGAUGCAAAGUAUCAAAAAUACAUUACCAAAAAGAGACAAGUAUCCAUGAAUCGCACCCUUAAUUGCACAAAAGAAAUGGCAUGUAACCACCUCAACAAAUUAGCGGAAUAUUUUUAGAUACAAUUAGAAACAGGUGUAUGGCAUGGAGAUAUAGAUACCACUAGAAUUUAUAAUCAUGAUGAAACCCCUCAGUUUAUAAACUAUGGAGUUGAUGGUACUCCAAAUGGUUUAGUAAUGUAUAAAGGAGGAAGCUAAUAAAGAAAGGAAAUCCAAGUAAAACAACAAAUUGAGGCAUUCUUUAAAUGUAAGGAAGAAUGUACCUGUGGAAAGAAUGUUUGUGCAGCAACUAAGAUUCGAGAACGCUCGUUUUGCCAUAAUGUUUUGAAAUCAACAUUUGGUAAAGCAUCAUGUCAAGGUGAAACAGGCCAAGGAUAAAUGCAAACAAAACCAAAUGAUCAAACCUUUUUGUGAAAUAAGACCCAAAAAAUGCCUUCAGUUUGAAUCUGAUGUAGAUAACGUUGAAGACUUCAUUCCUUUUUACUGAUUUUAUCCAGAAUACAACCUAUAAUUCUCUA